rnacentral:rRNA from 1 species
AUUGAACGCUGGCGGCAGGCCUAACACAUGCAAGUCGAGCGAGCGGCGGACGGGUGAGUAAUGUCUGGGAAACUGCCUGAUGGAUGGGGAUAACUACUGGAAACGGUAGCUAAUACCGCAUACCAUCAGAUGUGCCCAGGUGGGAUGAGCUAGUAGGUGGGGUAACGGCUGACCUAGGCGACGAUCCCUAGCUGGGCUGGGAGGAUGACCAGCCAGACCGGAACCGAGACACGGUCCAGACGCCUACGGUAGGCAGCAGUGGGGAAUAUUGCACAAAGGGCUCAAGCCUGAUGCAGCCAUGCCGCGUGUGUGAAGAAGGCGUUCGGGUUGUAAAGCAUUUUAAGCGGGGAGGCGGUACCCGCAGAAGAAGCGCCGGCUAACUCCGUGCCAGCAGCCGCGGUAAUAC